UAGAGUUGGCUCAGUUGGCAGAGCAUGAGACUCUCACACAUCUCAGGGUUGUGAGUUCGAGGCCCAUGUAGAGCAAAA